UGGGAACGCGAAGAACCUUACCUAGACUUGACAUCCUUUUGACCGAUGCCUAAUCGCAUUUUUCCCUUCGGGGACAGAAGUGACAGGUGGUGCAUGGUUGUCGUCAGCUCGUGUCGUGAGAUGUUGGGUUAAGUCCCGCAACGAGCGCAACCCUUGCCUUUAGUUGCCAGCAUUAAGUUGGGCACUCUAGAGGGACUGCCAGGGAUAACCUGGAGGAAGGUGGGGAUGACGUCAAAUCAUCAUGCCCCUUAUGCUUAGGGCUACACACGUGCUACAAUGGGUGGUACAGAGGGCAGCCAAGUCGUGAGGCCGAGCUAAUCCCUUAAAGCCAUUCUCAGUUCGGAUUGUAGGCUGAAACUCGCCUACAUGAAGUCGGAAUCGCUAGUAAUUGCGAAUCAGCACGUCGCAGUGAAUGCGUUCCCGGG
rnacentral:rRNA from 1 species